rnacentral:rRNA from 1 species
CACGUAGGCACCAAGCGUUGUCCGGAUUUAUUGGGCGUAAAGAGCUCGUAGGCGGUUCGGUAAGUCGGAUGUGAAAACUUUGGGCUCAACCCAAAGCGUGCACUCGAUACUGCUGUGACUAGAGUUCGGUAGGGGAGUGGGGAAUUCCUAGUGUAGCGGUGAAAUGCGCAGAUAUUAGGAGGAACACCGGUGGCGAAGGCGCCACUCUGGGCCGAAACUGACGCUGAGGAGCGAAAGCGUGGGUAGCAAACGGG